rnacentral:rRNA from 1 species
UACGUAGGGGGCGAGCGUUGUCCGGAAUUAUUGGGCGUAAAGCGCGCGCAGGCGGUCCCUUAAGUCUGAUGUGAAAGCCCACGGCUCAGCCGUGGAGGGUCAUUGGAAACUGGGGGACUUGAGUGCAGAAGAGGAGAGCGGAAUUCCACGUGUAGCGGUGAAAUGCGUAGAGAUGUGGAGGAACACCAGUGGCGAAGGCAGCCCCCUGGGCCGACACUGACGCUCAGGCACGAAAGCGUGGGGAGCAAACAGG